GGAGGGUGCGAGCGUUGUCCGGAAUCACUGGGCGUAAAGGGCGCGUAGGUGGCGCGGUAAGCGGGUGGUGAAAGUCCGGGGCUCAACUCCGGAUCGGCCAUGCGAACUGCCGCGCUCGAGCGUAGUAGAGGCAGGUGGAAUUCCGGGUGUAGCGGUGGAAUGCGUAGAGAUCCGGAAGAACACCGGUGGCGAAGGCGGCCUGCUGGGCUACAGCUGACACUGAGGCGCGACAGCGUGGGGAGCAAACAGGAUUAGAUACCCUGGUAGUCCACGCCGUAAACGAUGGGCACUAGGUGCCUGGGGGAGCGACCCCCUGGGUGCCGGCGCUAACGCAUUAAGUGCCCCGCCUGGGGAGUACGGCCGCAAGGCUG
rnacentral:rRNA from 1 species